GCGAGAUGGCUGCGGGUUUGGCAGCUGGGGAGCUGCUUUGCUGGUGUAUGGAGCAGCUGCGUGGCAGCUUCGGGCUGGACGUCGGCGAAGAGCUUGUCCAAUAUAUCUUGUCUAUUGAGGAUGAAGAAGAGAUUCGAGAUUAUGUUGCUGAUCUAAUCCAGGGGACAGAUGGCAAGAAAAAGCAGUUUGUUGAAGAACUAGUAGCCAAGUUGCGAAAGCCCUGUCAGCCAGCUUCUGAACCUUUGCCACUGUAUCGGAAAAGAGAUGAUACUUCAGAACUUCCUCGCCCAGGAGACCAGGCCAAGAAAGGAAGACGCAAAGGGAGAAACAAAUUGGAAGCACCUGUUUAUGUAGAAGCUGAACAGCCUAUAGAAGAAGUAAAAACACCGCUUGAUUUAGCCAAGACCCACGAGUUAAACAACAACAGCUCCUCCUCCAAGAAAAAGGCAAAAUACGUCAACUUGUACACAAAGGAAGGCCAGGACAAAUUGGCAGUCAUGCUUCCAGGACGCCACCCUUGCGAGUGUCUAGCUCAAAAGCACAAGCUCAUCAACAACUGUCUCACCUGUGGUCGCAUUGUUUGUGAACAAGAAGGCUCUGGCCCUUGCUUAUUCUGUGGGACUCUGGUAUGCACCAAAGAAGAACAGGAUGUCCUGCAACGAGAUUCCAAUAAGAGCCAGAAGCUACUGAAGAAGCUCUUGGCAGGUGGUGAAAAUUAUGGGAAAGUGGAUAUAAGUGGCAAGGACCUACUUCCUUGUCAGGAGGCUCGAUACAAAGCUGGGCUGGAGAUGGCUGUGAAACACAAGGACAAGCUGCUGGAAUAUGACCAAACAAGUGUACGCAGAACUCAGGUGAUUGAUGAUGAGUCAGACUACUUUGCUGUUGACUCCAACCAAUGGCUUUCAAAGCAAGAGAGAGAGGCAUUGGAAAAGAGAGAGAAGGAGCUACGAGAACUCCGGCAUGCUUCACGACUAUCCAAGAAGAUCACCAUUGACUUUGCUGGACGGCAGAUCCUGGAAGAGCAGGACAGCAUGGCGGAAUAUCACAGCAAACUGGAUGAAACAGUGGAAGCUAUUAACAGAGGUGCCUUGACCAAGCCAAAGCAGAGCCCUGAUGGGAAAAAUAAGGACCCUGGAGUGCUGGUGAAUCCAAAUCUGCUCCAGCCAGCCCCUGUGUGGGUGGACCAGACUAGUUUGCCCCAGCACAGGAAAACUGGCCCUCCUGCAGAGGCUGGGAGUGAGACAAACAUGGAAAGAAGUCGCUUGCGGAUUCAGGAUAAAGAGUUACAGGAGAUCUCAGAUGAUGGCUGGUGCCUUAGCAUGCAUCAGCCUUGGGCCUCCUUGCUGGUCAAAGGAAUCAAAAGGGUAGAAGGCAGGACUUGGUACACAUCCCACAGAGGUCGACUGUGGAUAGCAGCUACAGCUAAAAGGCCUUCUGCUCAGGAAAUCUCUGAAGUGGAGACCACUUACAAAAUCCUCUCCCAGAAAGAUUUGGAAUUUCCCCAGGAUUAUCCCUCCGGCUGCCUCCUUGGUUGUGUCUAUUUGAAUGACUGCUUAUCACAAGAGCAAUUUAAGGAACAGUAUCCACAGCUGAGCCAGGAGUCAUCUUCUCCAUUUGUGUUCAUCUGUACUGAUCCCCAGGAGAUGAUUGUGAAGUUUCCCAUCCAAGGCAAACACAAGAUCUGGAAGCUAGAUUUAAAGAUCCACCAAGGAGCAAAGAAGGGAUUAAUGAAGCAGAAAGCAAUGAUGUGAGCUGCAUGCCACAAACAGCACCCCAUCACCACUUCUAGGCAGGAGAAGAAUGGCGCUCAACCUGGCCCUUGAGACUUCAGAAACAACAGUGGUGCUGGAGAUGCUAUGGAGAGAACAAGCAUCCAUGAUGAAGAUGCAGGUGUCACACCAUGCAGUGUAAAUCUUUAGCUUUCAUCUCCUGAGCAGGUGUGGGCUGGAGCCACAAGUGCCUGGGAAUCUUCAGAGAGCAAGUAUGUGCUGCUGAUGCAAGCAGAAAUGUGCAGACCUUUGUGCCAAUGUUGGCUGAGUGCCUUAGUGGGAAGGUGCUGCUGCCAGAAGCGCUGCCUUUCAGAAGGAAUGGGAAAACUGCUGAGAACACAGAAGACAAACAUGAACAAGCACUCUCCUAGAGCAAAGAUAAGGGCAGCAAUAUUUCUAUUCAGAUGUGCAUCAGAGUGAGCAAUGUACAGCCUUCCAGAUGUUGUUGGACUGCAGCUCUAAAUAACAGUUGGGAAGACAGUGAUAGCCACACCCUGUCCUUUGAGGAGUGCACCUCCAAGCAUUUUUAACUUGGCUCUGCUCUUUGUAUUGGGCUCCUGGGAGUUAUAAUCCAACACUGUACUUUGCUUACUUUGAUAUGUAAUAUCACUUUCACCUCCAUUUCUCUUUUUGGAUCUCUUUUUGUAAUCCCAGUUUAAUGCUAUUGGAGCAUGUGUAUGUGUAUCUAAAUGUAUCUCAUUGGUAGAUAACCUUUCUCGUAUUCAGGAUUUUGUUCUUUUAUAAGAAUAACAAAUAACUAGCAGGAGACAUGUCUCAAGAUAGAAGGAAAGCUUGGAAAACAUAUUUUUUGGUCUGCAGACUCAUGGCCACAGUGGCUGAGGGAUUUUGGAGUUUGUAAUCCAAAAAAGUAGCUUUUCUAGGCUUUGCCAAAAUAUGGGCAAGGACACCCUUUUCUCUGUCUUAGGAAGACUGGUGAUAUGACUCAGUAUAAUCAAAAGUGGCUUAAUGCACUUGAGAAAAAGACACAAGAUUUUAGAAGUACCAUUACAAGCGCAAAACCCACUUUCAGAAAGAACAGGCACGAAAGCAGCAACUCAGAAAUGUCAUCAUACACCAUAACUAAUGGAGAGAAAGGUUUUUGGAUGAGGGAUUAAUGGUCAAAAGGCUUGGUUUUAUCAUAUCCCUUUUUAUUUUCUUAUUUGUUCAUUUGGACAGAGGAGUGUUGGUAACUAAAUGUAGAAGUCAAAGCAUUUUCAUGGCAUUAGAAUACAUGUCAUGUAAACAAUUAUUAACAUAUUUGCUGAUUGCAGCAAAUUAUUACAACCAGUUUCUGGAAAGGAAGAAAGCACCCACAAAGAAAAUCAGUGGUGUGUGACAAAUCUAGAAUAUUGUACAACAGGAAAAAUAAUGCAUCAGGUGAGAACAGAAUGCAGUUACCAGAAAAGAAUCUGUUUCUAGCUAUUGGGAUUUCAUAGCUAUCACAUGUAGAAACUAUGCCAGCAGAUUCUUGACCAAACUGAUAGAGGACUUUAUUUCUAUAUUAAUAACAUAUAUCCUUAGGCUGUAAAGAGCUGAAUUAGGUAAUGAAAUGAAAGUAAAUGAUAAAUUACUUGUUUGAUCUUGCUGGAAAAUGGUACUGAGUACUUGUAAUUUGGUUCCAUUGUACUGUUGCGAAUGUCCAUGAAGCUGGACUGUUUCUCCACAAAUAAAGUAAAUUUAUAAAAGUAAUACUUUUUCAUGAUACAU